CCUGAUUAAGUCCCGUAACGAGCGCAACCCCUAUCCCUAGUUGCUAGCAGUUCGGCUGAGAACUCUAGGGAGACUGCCGGUGACAAACCGGAGGAAGGUGGGGAUGACGUCAGGUCAUCUGUAAAACGACGGCCAGGGCUACACACGUGCUACAAUGGUGCGUACAGAGGGCUGCAAACCCGCGAGGGGGAGCUAAUCUCACAAAACGCAUCGUAGUCCGGAUCGGAGUCUGCAACUCGACUCCGUGAAGUCGGAAUCGCUAGUAAUCGCGAAUCAGAAUGUCGCGGUGAAUACGUUCCCGGGCCUUGUACACACCGCCCGUCACACCAUGGGAGUGGAUUGCACCAGAAGUGGUUAGUCUAACCUUCGGGAGGAC
rnacentral:rRNA from 1 species